GAUGAACGCUGGCGGCGUGCUUAACACAUGCAAGUCGAACGGAGAAAGGGUAGCUUGCUAUCUUUUCUUAGUGGCGGACGGGUGAGUAACGCGUGGGUAACCUGCCCUUUGCAGGGGGAUAACAGUGAGAAAUCACUGCUAAUACCGCAUACCAACUUCUUUCGCAUGAAGGAAGUUUGAAAGAUUUAUCGGCAAAGGAUGGACCCGCGUUGGAUUAGCUAGUUGGUGAGAUAACAGCCCACCAAGGCAACGAUCCAUAGCCGGCCUGAGAGGGUGAACGGCCACACUGGGACUGAGACACGGCCCAGACUCCUACGGGAGGCAGCAGUGGGGAAUAUUGCACAAUGGGCGAAAGCCUGAUGCAGCGACGCCGCGUGAAGGAUGAAGGUCUUCGGAUUGUAAACUUCUAUCAGCAGGGAAGAAAGGGCCUAUGGCCUAUGACGGUACCUGACUAAGAAGCCCCGGCUAACUACGUGCCAGCAGCCGCGGU
rnacentral:rRNA from 1 species